rfam:Populus trichocarpa isolate Nisqually-1 chromosome 11, whole genome shotgun sequence.
CGGCUGUAGCUAUAUCAAUCCAACUGGCUGAGAAGCUAACUGGCCGGCUAUUGUGUGAGAUUGAUUUUCUAUCUCCGAUCGAUAGAUCUGCUUACCGAGCUUCUCACAUUC